rnacentral:rRNA from 1 species
AGUUUGAUCCUGGCUCAGGAUGAACGCUAGCUACAGGCUUAACACAUGCAAGUCGAGGGGCAGCAUCAUCAAAGCUUGCUUUGAUGGAUGGCGACCGGCGCACGGGUGGGUAACACGUAUCCAACCUGCCGACAACACUGGGAUAGCCUUUCGAAAGAAAGAUUAAUACCGGAUGGCAUAGUUUUCCCGCAUGGGAUAAUUAUUAAAGAAUUUCGGUUGUCGAUGGGGAUGCGUUCCAUUAGGCAGUUGGCGGGGUAACGGCCCACCAAACCAACGAUGGAUAGGGGUUCUGAGAGGAAGGUCCCCCACAUUGGAACUGAGACACGGUCCAAACUCCUACGGGAGGCAGCAGUGAGGAAUAUUGGUCAAUGGACGAGAGUCUGAACCAGCCAAGUAGCGUGAAGGAUGACUGCCCUAUGGGUUGUAAACUUCUUUUAUACGGGAAUAAAGUUAGCCACGUGUGGCUUUUUGUAUGUACCGUAUGAAUAAGGAUCGGCUAACUCCGUGCCAGCAGCCGCGGUAAUACGGAGGAUCCGAGCGUUAUCCGGAUUUAUUGGGUUUAAAGGGAGCGUAGGCGGGUUGUUAAGUCAGUUGUGAAAGUUUGCGGCUCAACCGUAAAAUUGCAGUUGAUACUGGCGACCUUGAGUGCAACAGAGGUAGGCGGAAUUCGUGGUGUAGCGGUGAAAUGCUUAGAUAUCACGAAGAACUCCGAUUGCGAAGGCAGCUUACUGGAUUGUAACUGACGCUGAUGCUCGAAAGUGUGGGUAUCAAACAGGAUUAGAUACCCUGGUAGUCCACACAGUAAACGAUGAAUACUCGCUGUUGGCGAUAUACGGUCAGCGGCCAAGCGAAAGCAUUAAGUAUUCCACCUGGGGAGUACGCCGGCAACGGUGAAACUCAAAGGAAUUGACGGGGGCCCGCACAAGCGGAGGAACAUGUGGUUUAAUUCGAUGAUACGCGAGGAACCUUACCCGGGCUUAAAUUGCAACUGACUGAAUCGGAAACGGUUCUUUCUUCGGACAGUUGUGAAGGUGCUGCAUGGUUGUCGUCAGCUCGUGCCGUGAGGUGUCGGCUUAAGUGCCAUAACGAGCGCAACCCUUACGGGUAGUUACCAUCAGGUUAUGCUGGGGACUCUACCCGGACUGCCGUCGUAAGAUGUGAGGAAGGUGG